CCUACGGGGAGCAGCAGUGGGGACUAUUGCACACUGGGGGAAACCCUGAUGCAGCAACGCCGCGUGAGUGAAUAAGUAUUUCGGUAUGUAAAGCUCUAUCAGCAGGGAAGAGAAUUACUAUCCCUGCCUAAUAAGCCCCGUCUAACUACGUUCCAGCAGCCGCGGUACUACGUAGGGAGCGAGCGUUAUCCGGAUUGACUGGGUGUAAAGAGAGAGUAGACGGUUCUUCAAGUCUGAAGUGAAAGCCCGUGGCUUAACAGCGGAAUGGAUGUUGAAACUGUGGAACUGGAGUGCUGGCGAGGGGAGCGGAAGUCGUGGUGUAGCGGUGAAAUGCGUAGAUAUUAGGAGGAACUCCAGUGGCGAAGGCGGCUUGCUGGACAGUAACUGACAUUGAGGCUCGAAAGCGUGGGGAGCAAACAGGAUUAGAUACCCUUGUAGUC
rnacentral:rRNA from 1 species